rnacentral:rRNA from 1 species
GUGGAAGCGUCUGGAAAGGCGCGCGAUACAGGGUGACAGCCCCGUACACAAAAGCGCAUGUGCUGUGAGCUCGAUGAGUAGGGCGGGACACGUGGUAUCCUGUCUGAAUAUGGGGGGACCAUCCUCCAAGGCUAAAUACUCCUGACUGACCGAUAGUGAACCAGUACCGUGAGGGAAAGGCGAAAAGAACCCCGGCGAGGGGAGUGAAAAAGAACCUGAAACCGUGU